rnacentral:lncRNA from 1 species
AGUGCAACACAGGGUUCUAUUAACGAUACUAUGAACAUGUGAUGAAUGUGAUAACGUCUAUUAAGUGAUAUUAGUGUAUUUUAAAGUAGAUUAAGAUAUUAAAGUAAAAUAGGGAUUACUAGAAUGCAAAUACACAGGUUUAAUAAUAUAAAAUCACUUAUUUUCCUAUUUUUAUUUUAUAUGAUAUGGCUUCACGCAAGCAACCAAAUACUAUCUUUUCUCAGUCAUACUUUAUACAUACAAAAAACCAAACACCAACAGCUUGCAUCUCCGCAUCUUGUCCUUUGGGAAACAAGGAGUUUAGUCUACAAUAGCCUGACUCGCAUAUGAGAACAAGGAGUUCAGUAAAAGUGCCAUAUAAGAGCAUCUCUCCAAGAGUUUCCGAAACCCACUCCAAAUCUUAAUUUUCUUUGCAAGAUUAACAAAGACACUCUCCAGCAACUCCAUGUCUCAACUCCCAAAAUUUUUGCACUUGAGAAAACCGAACCAUUUGCAUGGAAAUAUGCGCGCGCCUAUUAAUCCACCAAUAUGGAGGUGGAAGGAUGUCAAAAGGAAUUAAAAGUAAAAAUAGGGGUUCCAAUGCAUAGGUAUAAGAGAUAAAAAAAAGUUUAGAGUCUUUAGGGUGAUUUAGAAAAAAAAAAUUAGGAUUCCUAAUGCAAAGUUGGCAUCUAUCUUUAGGAGCCAGAAUUUGGACAUAGUUAAAGGAGCC